CACGUACUCCCUCCGUCCGGAAAUACUUGUCAUCAAAAUGGAUAAAAGGAGAUGUAUCUAGACGUAUUUUAGUUCUAGAUACAUCUUUUUUUGUCCAUUUUGAUGACAAGUAUUUUCGGACGGAGGGAGUACUUA
rnacentral:pre_miRNA from 1 species